rnacentral:lncRNA from 1 species
CUCCUUUCAAUGUCACCGAAGAAGAAAGAAUCAGCUGGUUUAAAGGAAAGCUCCCCAAAUUUGUGAUUUUUGAUUCAGACGAGAGAGCACAGCGGUUCCAUGGUAGAGUUCUUGAAUUCUUUGACCAUGAGUGUGAGACUCAGUUCUUCAUGACAUGGAUUUCACCUGUGAGGUCUUUCGGAAGCAGAGAAUUCCUGUCGAUGGAGAGUGUAUUCAGAGCUCACCCUCGCGGUUGCUUGAUGAUUCUCUCGAGAACCAUGGACUCCAGGCGAGGUUACAGGCUUCUGAAACCUCUGCAGGAUCGCGGCUUCAAAGUUCAUGCAGUGACACCAGACUUGUCAUUUCUGUUCAAGAACACCCCAGCCGAGGCCUGGUUUGCUGAGAUGAAGAAAGGCAUCAAAGACCCUGGUGAGAUUCCAUUAGCUCAGAACCUGUCUAAUUUAAUGAGACUAGCAGUUCUAUACAAGUAUGGAGGUGUGUACCUGGACACAGAUUUCAUCGUCAUGAAAUCGUUUUCCGGGUUGAGGAACUCAAUCGGUGCACAAAGUAUGGAUGCUGAGAUGAAACACUGGACCAGACUAAAUAAUGCAGUGCUGGUGUUUGAUAUGAAUCAUCCUCUUCUGCACAAAUUCAUUGAGGAGUUUUCCUUGACUUUUGAUGGGAAUAAAUGGGGUCAUAAUGGACCCUAUCUUGUUUCCAGAGUGGUCCAGAGAGUGGAAAACAGACCUGGAUAUAACUUUACAGUCCUGCCUCCAAUGGCUUUCUAUCCUGUGGAUUGGACUAGAAUAGGGGGAUUGUUUAAGAAGCCGAAAAACCAUGCUGAUACUAAAUGGAUAAAAGCAAAGCUGCUUCAGCUUAGCGGGGAGACUUACGGAGUACACCUGUGGAACAAGCAAAGUAGCAGAGUACAAAUCGAAGAAGGAAGCAUUAUGCAGAGAUUAAUCUCCGAUCACUGCAUCAUCUGUAAAGACAUAUACAGUUCUUAAAGAAUCUUUGAACGAGAAUAUGAUGAAGCAUCUUCAACCUGUGGCAAAGUCACAGACUGAAAAUUGAUACCCUCCUAUAGGUGGUGUACUCUGUUGCUUCAUUUAGAUAGAGAAAGUUUUCUUAAUUUUUUGUUUCAUUCAUAGCUUGUUCAUCUUGUUCUUCUUUUCAUUCUGAUUUUUAUGCUCC